rnacentral:rRNA from 1 species
GACGAACGCUGGCGGCGUGCUUAACACAUGCAAGUCGAACGAAAAUACCAAGCUUGCUUGGUUGAUUAGUGGCGAACGGGUGAGUAACACGUGAGUAACCUGCCCCUUACUUUCCUGGAUAACUGCUCGAAAGGGUAGCUAAUACGGGAUAUUCUGACCAGCCUGCAUGGGUUGGUUUGGAUAGGUUGUUUUUCUGGUAAGGGAUGGGCUCGCGGCCUAUCAGCUUGUUGGUGGGGUGAUGGCCUACCAAGGCUUUGACGGGUAGCCGGCCUGAGAGGGUGGACGGUCACACUGGGACUGAGAUACGGCCCAGACUCCUACGGGAGGCAGCAGUGGGGAAUAUUGCACAAUGGGCGCAAGCCUGAUGCAGCGACGCCGCGUGAGGGAUGAAGGCCUUCGGGUUGUAAACCUCUUUCGUCAGGGAACAAGGCACUGCUUUUUUGGUGGUGUUGAGGGUACCUGGAUAAGAAGCGCCGGCUAACUACGUG